UGUGGUGUUGGUGAGCUCCGGGUGUAC
rnacentral:sRNA from 1 species